UCUUUUUAUGGAGAGUUUGAUCCUGGCUCAGAGUGAACGCUGGCGGCGUGCCUAAUACAUGCAAGUCGAACGAUGAAGCUUCUAGCUUGCUAGAAGUGGAUUAGUGGCGCACGGGUGAGUAACGCAUAGAUAACAUGCCCUUUAGUCUAGGAUAGCCACUGGAAACGGUGAUUAAUACUGGAUACUCCCUACGGGGGAAAGUUUUUCGCUAAAGGAUUGGUCUAUGUCCUAUCAGCUUGUUGGUGAGGUAAUGGCUCACCAAGGCUAUGACGGGUAUCCGGCCUGAGAGGGUGAACGGACACACUGGAACUGAGACACGGUCCAGACUCCUACGGGAGGCAGCAGUAGGGAAUAUUGCUCAAUGGGGGAAACCCUGAAGCAGCAACGCCGCGUGGAGGAUGAAGGUUUUAGGAUUGUAAACUCCUUUUGUUAGAGAAGAUUAUGACGGUAUCUAACGAAUAAGCACCGGCUAACUCCGUGCCAGCAGCCGCGGUAAUACGGAGGGUGCAAGCGUUACUCGGAAUCACUGGGCGUAAAGAGUGCGCAGGCGGGGUAGCAAGUCAGAUGUGAAAUCCUAUGGCUUAACCAUAGAACUGCAUUUGAAACUGUUACUCUAGAGUAUGGGAGAGGUAGGUGGAAUUCUUGGUGUAGGGGUAAAAUCCGUAGAGAUCAAGAGGAAUACUCAUUGCGAAGGCGACCUACUGGAACAUUACUGACGCUCAUGCACGAAAGCGUGGGGAGCAAACAGGAUUAGAUACCCUGGUAGUCCACGCCCUAAACGAUGAAUGCUAGUUGUUGCCCUGCUUGUCAGGGCAGUAAUGCAGCUAACGCAUUAAGCAUUCCGCCUGGGGAGUACGGUCGCAAGAUUAAAACUCAAAGGAAUAGACGGGGACCCGCACAAGCGGUGGAGCAUGUGGUUUAAUUCGAAGAUACGCGAAGAACCUUACCUAGGCUUGACAUUGAUAGAAUCUACUAGAGAUAGUGGAGUGCCCUUUUAGGGAGCUUGAAAACAGGUGCUGCACGGCUGUCGUCAGCUCGUGUCGUGAGAUGUUGGGUUAAGUCCCGCAACGAGCGCAACCCUCGUCCUUAGUUGCUAGCAGUUUGGCUGAGCACUCUAAGGAGACUGCCUUCGUAAGGAGGAGGAAGGUGAGGAUGACGUCAAGUCAUCAUGGCCCUUACGCCUAGGGCUACACACGUGCUACAAUGGGGUGUACAAAGAGACGCAAUACCGCGAGGUGGAGCAAAUCUCAAAAACAUCUCUCAGUUCGGAUUGUAGUCUGCAACUCGACUACAUGAAGCUGGAAUCGCUAGUAAUCGUGAAUCAGCCAUGUCACGGUGAAUACGUUCCCGGGUCUUGUACUCACCGCCCGUCACACCAUGGGAGUUGUAUUCGCCUUAAGCCGGAAUACUAAACUGGUUACCGUCCACGGCGGAUGCAGCGACUGGGGUGAAGUCGUAACAAGGUAACCGUAGGUGAACCUGCGGUUGGAUCACCUCCUUUCUA
rnacentral:rRNA from 2 species